UUAUGCCAUUUGGUAUCUGACACAUAAUCAUUUCUCUGAUUAUGUGUCUCGAAACAUGGCAGAAAGU
rnacentral:snoRNA from 1 species